UGAGGAAUAUUGGGCAAUGCCCGCAAGGGUGACCCAGCAACGCCGCGUGGAGGAUGAAUGUCGUAAGAUUGUAAACUCCUGUUAGAGGGGAAGAAUAGUACCGGUUGGACCGGUAUAUGACUGUACCCUCAGAGAAAGCCCCGGCUAACUACGUGCCAGCAGCCGCGGUAAUACGUAGGGGGCAAGCGUUGUCCGGAUUUACUGGGUGUAAAGGGCGCGCAGGCGGGAUAAAAAGUCAGUGGUGAAAUCCUACAGCUUAACUGUAGAACUGCCUUUGAUACUUUUAUUCUUGAGUUCGGUAGAGAGAGACGGAAUUCCAGGUGUAGUGGUGAAAUACGUAGAUAUCUGGAAGAACACCAGUUGCGAAGGCGGUCUCUUGGUCCGACACUGACGCUGAGGCGCGAAAGCGUGGGGAGCAAACA
rnacentral:rRNA from 1 species